rnacentral:rRNA from 1 species
UGCCGGCGACCGGCGGACGGGUGCGUAACGCGUAUGUAACCUACCUUUGACAGGGGGAUAACAUCGAGAAAUUGGUACUAAUACCCCAUAACAUCACCGGAGGCAUCUUCGGUGGUUGAAAACUCAGGUGGUCAGAGAUGGACAUGCGUUGUAUUAGCUAGUUGGUGAGGUAACGGCUCACCAAGGCGACGAUACAUAGGGGGACUGAGAGGUCAACCCCCCACAUUGGUACUGAGAUACGGACCAAACUCCUACGGGAGGCAGCAG